GUAGGGUGCAAGCGUUGUCCGGAAUUAUUGGGCGUAAAGAGCUCGUAGGCGGUCUGUCACGUCGGCUGUGAAAUCCCGAGGCUCAACCUCGGGUCUGCAGUCGAUACGGGCAAACUAGAGUAUUGCAGGGGAGACUGGAAUUCCUGGUGUAGCGGUGAAAUGCGCAGAUAUCAGGAGGAACACCGGUGGCGAAGGCGGGUCUCUGGGCGAUAACUGACGCUGAGGAGCGAAAGCGUGGGGAGCGAACAGGAUUUGAUACCCUGGUAGUCCACGCCGUAAACGUUGGGCGCUAGGUGUGGGGCUCAUUCCACGAGUUCCGUGCCGCAGCUAACGCAUUAAGCGCCCCGCCUGGGGAGUACGGCCGCAAGGCUA
rnacentral:rRNA from 1 species